GACGAACGCUGGCGGCGUGCUUAACACAUGCAAGUCGAACGGAAAGGCCCUGCUUUCAGUUUACUCGAGUGGCGAACGGGUGAGUAACACGUGGGUGAUUUGCCCUGCACUUCGGGUUAAGCCUGGUCAACUGGGUCUAAUACCGGAUAGGAGCUAUUUUUAGUGUGAUGGUUGGAAAGUUUUUUCGGUGUAGGAUGAGCUCGCGGCCUAUCAGCUUGUUGGUGGGGUAAUGGCAUACCGAGGCGGCGACGGGUAGCCGGCCUGAGAGGGUGGACGGACACAUCGGGACUGAGAGACGGCCAAGACUACUACGGGAGGCAGCAGGGGGGAAUAUUGGACAAUGGGAGCAAGCCUGAUGCAGCGACGCCGCGUGGGGGAUGAACGCCUUCGGGUUGUAAAAUCAUUUCGCUAGGGACGAAGCUUUUUGUGACGGUACCUAGACAAGAAGCACCGGCUAACUACGUG
rnacentral:rRNA from 1 species